rnacentral:rRNA from 1 species
CCUACGGGUGGCAGCAGUGAGGAAUAUUGGUCAAUGGACGCAAGUCGGAACCAGCCAGGCCGCGUGCAGGAAGACGGCGCUAUGAGUUGUAAAAUGCUUUUGUACGAGGGUAAACGCAGAUACGCGGAUCUGUCUGAAAGUAGCGUACGAAUAAGGAUCGGCUCACUCCGUGCCAGCAUCCGCGGUAAUACGGAGGAUUCAAGCGUUAUCCGGAUUUCUUGGGUUUAAAGGGUGCGUAGGCGGUCGGAUAAGUUAGAGGUGACAUCCCGAGGCUCAACUUCGGACUUGCCUCUGAUACUGUUCGGCUAGUGCGUAUUUGCGCUAGGCGGAAUGUAUGGUGUAGCCGU